GCCCCGCCCACCCCGCUGCCGCCGUGGGGUCCCGCUGGCCGGGGGCGGCCCGGCGCGGGAGGGGCCCCCGUUUGGCGUGUGCGGGCUCCCCCCCCAUUACCUUUUUGCGGGGGCUUCCCCGCGCCGCGCUACCGGCGGGGACCCCCGAUGUGGGGGGGGAUGUGGUUUAGACCCGCGGCGUGCGGAGGGGACCCCCCCUCUUUAAGGGGGGGAGGUACCGGGGAGCGGGUGCGGGGCCGCCGCGGUGCGGGGCCGCGGAGCGGCAGCAGCAGCCGCCGCCGCCCGGGGCUCCGGUCCGGCGGGACGCGGCCUGGGGACAGCCGGUUGCUUUUAAGCCCCCCCUCUCUUUCCGCGGCGGGGUCUUUGGGGAGGUCGGUGCGUGGCAGAAGCACCGGUGCGGGACCGGAGGUGCCCCCGGCCCGCCGUGCUCUCCCCGCAGCCUCCCCACCGCCGGGCACCGGGGAGCCUCCCCGGGAGGGGCGCUUUGCACCAUCCGGAGGAGGAUGCGGCACCUCGGGGAACUUCUCAAGGUUUCAGCGUUCGGUUUGCAGGGUCACAAAGUGAGCUACCUUUGGACAAAGUUGUGGGUUUGUUUUUUUUUUUUUUAAAUAUCAUUUUACAAUGUGUCUUUUAAAACAAUGUUGUCUUUAAGGCUCGAGGCGUGCUGUAUGUGUUGACCUUGCAAGUGAGGAUUAAUUGAACUUCUCUUCCAGGGCCCAAUCCAGAGCUUAAGGAGACUGUGGAGGAGUUUCUGUCUCCCCAGGCUUCAGACCGGCAGCUUUGCAGUGCUGUCGGACGCUUGGCAAAGCGGGUUUUUUCCCCUCAUGUGACAUAUAAUUAACACACACCUCUAUAACGCCCGUCUCCUUGGGUUUUCAUAGCUCUUGUAUAAGUUUACCUUACUAAAAUUCCGUCAGUCAGGUAAAUUGUAUUUCAUCUCAUUUAGGGGUGGCUGAGUCAAAGCAAUAAUCGCUAUUUUUAGUCCGCCUUCCCUCUCCUGCGGAGCAGCUUCCCCGGCAGAUUUGAACCCCAUUGCGUGGCUGAGGCUGGGAAAGGCUUUGUGGGACGCUCGGAGCGUUGGGGCAAGCCCACGGAGGUAGGAGUGGAAACAAGAGCCCCUCUUUGCUGCUCCCUGCCUUCCACUACAAGUCAAAUUCCUGCAGAAGAAGCCCCCAAGGACAGCAGGAAUUCGAGACAUUGGUUUUCUUGCACGCUGCUGCCUUUCACCGCUCCCUGGCUCUGCCCGAGGCAGGGAGUUGCAUUUCCCAGCCCACACACUUGAAUUCCUCUUUGUCCAGCGCAGGUAGAAGGACGACGACAGCUCUCGGUAGUUGCUUCCUCUCGCUCCAGAGAUGGGCGCGGGGAAGAGGUGGUGCCUGUGACCGGAGCAGGGAAUAGUCUGGCAGCUGCAGGGCGAACAAUGGAGGAACAUGUCCCCCAGCAGCUCUUUUCCAACCCAUGAACAUUUACCUGGCGCUGAUACAAGAAACUCUGCACACCUGCACUGGGCAGGACUCCACUGACCUCUCUCCUGCUUGAAAUGCAAGCGGAGGAGUACACGGGAUUCCUAAGCCUCUUUCUAGGCUUCAUCGUGGCAGCAGAUAUCAGAGAAAAAGGACAUUUAUUUUUAGACAGCUUUGACCUCAGUGUGAGUCAAAGGCAGCGAGGGGUUCAUGAAACUCUUUACAUUUGGCCUGGUGUGGCAUUUCCGCUAAAAUGAAAUAAAGUAGCCCUUCCUAACAAAUAAACAUGCAUUUUCAUGUUUGUUAAU